AGAGCACAAGUACAGCCUACGCUCAGCAAAGCCACGCACGCCCUUUGAAAUUCUACCAAGAUGAACGUCGCCCCCUACAGACUCACAUCCCACAAUCUAAAGGUAAAACCUACUUCAUGCCCUCUAGAGCACCCCUGCAUGAGCAGUUAGCCAGAUACCUGAUUCGCAAAGAAAUAGUUAGCUCUCGACUACUGAAGUUUGAUGAUAAACCAGAGAACUACUGGGCCUGGAAAGCUUCCUUUGUCAACUCCACCAGUGAUCUGAACUUAACCCCCAGGGAAGAGCUAGAUUUAUUGACUAAAUGGCUGGGACCACAGUCUGCAGAGCAGGCCAAACGCAUCCGUGCGGUUCACAUCAAUAAUGCCAGCUCACUUAAAAUUAUGUGGCAGAGAUUGGAAGAAUGCUACGUUUCAGCAGAAAUGAUAGAAAACGCUCUGCUUAAAAAGUUUGAGAAGUUUCCAAAAAUAUCAAACAAGGACAAUUGUCCUCAUUCAUCAUUCUCGCGUAGAAACGGGCGUAUAUGUUGGCGUAAGAUUUUGCUUACACUCCUCUCACCGCUUGAUUUAUGAAGCUGUGCGUACCUUUAAAAUCCAGGUGUACGCAAUACCUGCCCUUGAUAAAUGCCGCGGCUGAAAACGAUCGUCAUUUGAAUAACACGCCCCUAUAUAUUUAAGUCUCCGCUUCCCCCACACCCUCAUUUUACGCCAUGGACACACGGAAGACGGCAAAAAAGAGAAACUUCUCUGACGUGGAGAUUGAGACGAUCACCAGGGAGGUAGAAAGAAAUAAAAUUGUUUUAUUUGGCAGUUUAAAAAGUGGAAUAAAAGGCGCCCACAAAAACAGAAUUUGGACCCAAAUUACGAGUGCUGUGGGGGUUGAGAAGCGCACUCCAGCAGAGGUAAGAAUGUUUUAUUGCUUAAUACAAGUUAAGCAUGAGUUUUCUUUAUUGCUUAAUAUAGACCGAUCAAGUUAAGCAUGAGUUUUCUUGUUUAUUGUAGGUGAAAAAAAAGUGGUCCGAUUCAAAGAUCGCCACAAAGAGGCGCGUCUCGGCACUAAAGAGGAACCAGAGUCAGACUGGGGGAGGCCCACCGGAUCCAAGUCUCCAGCUGACACCGAACGAGGAGCGGGUGGCAGCCCUCAUCGGAAUGGUGUCUUUGGAAGGUAUCACCGGUGGGGGAGAUACCGACGACAUUCAUGAUGAUGGCACUGCAGGCCCCAGCGCCCUCGAGGCAUCUCCCCCUCAGCCCAUCCAGGAGCCUGAGCCUAUCCUUGCGCCAGAGCCUAAGCAGGUGCAAGCGGGGGAAGCCGAGUCCCGUCCACCAGCCUCCCGUGCG
ensembl:lncRNA